CAGUUCAUCUUUGUGAUCUGAACAGACAUCUGAACUCUGGAAACAAAGUCUAUCUUUCUGGUUUAAACUUAACAUACACCAUGUUUAAAAAGUUUCUUUUAUUUGUACUUCUGAACGUUUUACCAUGUAUUGAAUGUCAGACAUUCACUCAGUCUGAAGCAGUGGUUAAAAAACCAGGAGAGUCUCACAAACUUACAUGUACAAUAACUGGAUUUACUUUCAGCGGUCUCGAACUGAGCUGGAUCAGACAGAGCCCUGGAAAAGGACUGGAGUGGAUUGCAUACAUUGACACAGCUAGUACUCCAAUCUACUAUUCCCAGUCAGUUCAGGGCAGGUUCACAGUGUCCAGAGAUGAUUCCAGCAGUCAACUGUAUCUACAGAUGAACAGCCUCAAGACUGAAGACACUGCUGUGUAUUACUGCGCUAGAGAGUCACAGUGAAUGAGUUCAGUGUCAAAGCAAUACAAAAACUACUUCCUCAUUCACAUA